ACUGCCUUUUUCCUGAAAUCUUCAUUGAGAAUAUAUUACAACAUUCUAUUCAUUUAAUCCAUUUAUGGAUCUUUGAGUGGACAAAUUAAUCAAAUUUUCAAUGAUGGUUUCUUUUUCUAGAUUUGUGGCCAGAUGUAUUUGGCAUUUAUCUGGAAUUGGACGAAAAUUUCAUAUCACCUUGUCAUGGGAUUCACAAAAUAUUAACCAGGUUGUUGGCUGUUGAUUGUGCUGACUCAUUGACAAUUUUUGGACAAGAUGCGGACAUUUAGGUGCUGAUUUUUGGAAGUAUCGGCAGAGUGAUGUGUGGAGACAAGGUGGUUGGCACAUUCUGGAGCUCCAUCUGGGUGGACGAAUGCUGUCCAAGGUUGUUGGUGUUGAAGCCCGCGGAGAAUAUACUGCCAGGCUCACGACUCAUGAGGUCUCCACCCCACCAUCCACUUCAGUGGGAGUGCUCGAUGGAGUGUUGUCAACUGUUGUCAUGCCCAUUUGUGCCCUGAGUCCUGAGGGUAGUGUGACCGGGUAUAAAACAUCUGAAUUUGAGUUGCAGUCUUCCAUGGUAGAGCAGUGAAGUUGUGAAUGAGAUUAUUGAAGUUAAAGUGGUAGUCCGGUAUUAUGUGGGCAGACAAGUGAAUCAGUACCAAGUGGUUUCAAAACGGUAUCAAAAUGAUCCAAAUGGUGCGACAAACAAACAACAAAUGCUCAACACAAAGAUCAGUGCUACAAGAUCACUAGAUAAUGAUUCAGUGCAUGCUGUAUUGGGAUUCUGUGUUACUCUAGCUUGAGUAGGAUUGCAAAGAUGAAUUUUCAGACUAAAUUUGACAAGUUGCACUUGAUCCAAAGUUUCAAUGAAUCUCCCUACACUUCUGAGUAGAUUCUUGCCCACACCUUCUUCUACCAGAAUUCCCAGUGUUGCUCUGGGCCGGCUAGACUCAGUCGGCGUCUGGGUUGGGCCACAGCAGGGGACUGGGGGCUUGGUGUUUGGGUUCAUCAACCAUGUUCAUUUGAGUCAGGGGUUGGAACAGGGCCUUGAGCACCUUGAUGAAGUGAUUUCCUCUUCUAGGAAAGAGGGGCUGUGCUUUCGCCUAAAAGGGUUGGGUGGGGAGGAAUAGGAGUACGAAUAAUGUGGUGCCUUCCGUGAUUAUGGUCUCUGGGACAUGAGAAGCAUUUCCAAUUGUCACUGGCUAUCCUCUUGCUAUUCCCGAUGGAAUUAGCAAGGUACAAGAGCCCUGAAACUGGGCGUCAUGGCUGGUCACUGGGUCCCUCACCUUGGGUACCGGCUGUUUCUGGCUAUCAGGACUGGAGUCUCGGGGUCAAGAAAGGCAUUCUCAAGACUUAAUCGAGGUCUUCUUGCUAUUCCUGAUGGAAGUAGUGAGGUAGAAGAGCCUCAGAACUGGGUGCCAUGGCUGGUCACUGGGUCCCUCACCUUGGGUACCAGGUGUUCCUGGCUCUAAGGAUCGGCGUCUGGGAGUCGAGCAAGGCCUUCCCAAGCCUUACUUGAGGUCCUCUUGCUAUUCCUGAUUAAAUUAGCAAGAUAGAAGAGCCCUGGAGCCGGGCAUCACUGGCGGUCACCGAGUCCCUCACCUCAGGAACCAUCUAUCUUCUGCGGUCAGGAUUGGUGUCUUGGGGUCGAGAAAGGCCUUCGCAAGCCUUACUUGAGGUCUACCUGCCAUUCCCAAUGGAAUUAGCAGGAUAGAAGAGCCCUGGUACUAGGCAUCACUGGCAGUCACCGAGUUCAACAGCUUGGUCACCAGCUGCCUCCUGCUACCAGGAUUGAUGUCUCGGGGUUGAAAAAGGCCUUUUCAAGCCUCACUCGAGGUCCUCUUGCUCUUCCUGGUCCACUUCGUGAUGUUAUUGGGUCCAGUCAGGUUUUAUCCCAAUACUCAACUUGUCACCACUGGUCGAAUCUGGCAGACUGGCUGCUAGAAGUUGCAUAAGUGGUCAUACAAUACUCUCCUUCCUGCAAGUGUUGUAUCUUGGAGCUUCCAGUGUCUCCUAUCAACUCCAGUUCAUAGAAGGCGCAAUUUGAAGUAGUCAAAUGAGUAGGAGUAGACUCUGGUCACAAGCUCUACUCACUCUCUGGCUGCGUGCUGCUUCCUUCAAUAGUUCUUGACCAACUGUCUGUGCUAGAGUGCUCCUCUCUGCUACUCGGCCAGCCUUCCUUGGUUCUGCUAAGUGGUAAAAGAUGAGGAUGUGCGGCAUAGUUGAGCAGUAGUUCAGUGCCUGCAUCGCUUGUUGUACAACACGAUCUUAUAAUGAGAUUUUUGAGCAUCGUCAAAACUAACUCUAAAAUCAAUUUUCC